UACGGGGGGGGCAAGCGUUGUUCGGAAUUACUGGGCGUAAAGGGCUCGUAGGUGGCCAACUAAGUCAGACGUGAAAUCCCUCGGCUUAACCGGGGAACUGCGUCUGAUACUGGAUGGCUUGAGUUCGGGAGAGGGAUGCGGAAUUCCAGGUGUAGCGGUGAAAUGCGUAGAUAUCGUAAGGAAGGCCGGUGGCGAAGGCGAGUUCCUGGACAGUUACUGACGCUGAGGCACGAAGGCCAGGGGAGCAAACGGG
rnacentral:rRNA from 1 species